AGCCUCUUGCGCGGGGAGGCUCCGGCGCCUGGGCUCCUUCCCCCACGUUCGCCCGCAGCCCGCGCGCGGUGUUUUCUCGUGCGCUCCUGGAGCCCGCUGGAAACCGGCGCUGGGCUUUAAGCGGGGGGCGGGAGGGGGAGCUGCGGCAGCGGGGUCCCAGGGAAGCAGUCCCCGCGCGGGGCUUCCAGAAAGAGUGGAGUUAAGCAAGUUUUGCGCACCAAAGGAGUCCACCCUGUGAAGAGUUCUUUACUGACGUCCUCAUCCAAAAAUCUGACCCUUUUCCCCGACACUUACUCAAGGUUCCCAGUCCAGGAAGAAUCACCAAUUUGUUAACUUCGACUACAAGCCAGAGUUUAUUGGGACAGGAAGGAGGAGGCUGCCUCUGACAAACGACACUAUCCACAAGUUGCAGUAUAGCAGUUGUUGUGAAGAAGGCAGAAACAAGCAACCUUUCUCUCUCCGAAGUCUGAAGGAAUGCUGUUAUGUUCUGGUAAAAGUCACUACAACAGUCUUUCUGUGUGGAGUCUCUAAAUAGUGCUUCGAUGGUCUUUAUGCAUCAUUCCACUUCUCGCAAGUUCCAGAGACAAGCAUCACAUUAAGUAUAUUUGGUACAGAUGGAGACGUG
rnacentral:lncRNA from 12 species